CCCUGUACGCAAGGGUACAUCUCUAGGCUCGCAUGACGAGAAGGGCGCAGUUGUAGGCGAAAUGUGUCAGGGCAGCAGCAAUGACGACACGUGCCUGAACAAGCGAAAGCUCGGAUACCCCCUUGAAUUAAGCAUAUGAGUAAAGGGAGGAAAAGAAACUAACAAGGAUUCCUGCAGUAGCGGCGAGCGAAGAAGGACCAGCCCCGUGUGUAAUCGUUCUUUCGAGAACGAGAUGUCAUGGACGCGAUGUAACGAUCUGGAAAGAUCGGCCUGAGAGGGUGAUAGCCCCGUACAGCGUGAAUGGAUGAGUAGUAGUGUUUGGUAUUACACUAUGAACAGGUGGCAGCGCCCAUCUAAGGCUAAAUACUAUGCGAGACCGAUAGCGAAUAAAAUAAGUAGAGUGAUCGAAGGAUGAAUAGGCUGAAAAAGUGAAAUUGCGCAGAGAGCUGAGCGGCUCAGUCCGUCUUGAAACACGGACC
rnacentral:rRNA from 1 species